AUUGGGCGGCCGGUCGCCGUCUGGGAGCGGCGUUGCUCUGGCCUGGAGCCCGUCGGCCUCCUCUCCUUCCGGCCGCUCUCUCUCUUUCUCGGCCAAGAUCUGAUCGGCCCUCUUCCUCGGUUGUUCAGCGGCCAUCGGUUCCGGUCUCUCUCCCUCACGCUGAAGUUCCGCCGCCGCCUUGUGAAGGCCGGCGAGCAGGGGAGUGUCCGACGCCCUCAUCGCGCCGCUGCUGCCCUUGGAAUGGUGCCGCUGUUCUUCCCGGCGGCAGGUGAAAGGCUCGCCGAUCCGCUGCUGUCCUUGGAUCGUUGUUGCUGUUUGGGGUCCCGAUGAGGUUCGAGUUGCGUCACGCCGCCUUCUUCCUCCGUUCCGGUCCGGAUUCAGAUGUCAAAGCAGGCGGGGAGUCGAGCCUUGUUCUUUUCCGCCUCUGCCGCCAUGGUUCUGCCGCCAUCUCCACCGUUUGUGGAAGAUCAGCGAUUCAGCGCCGUUGUUUCGUUCGUGACGCUGCUGCUGUUGUCACGCAAUUUCCGCCGAGGCAGCAGGAGAUGCCGCUGAAAUCUGUCCUCUGCUCAAGAACCGGCUCAAGCCUCACUCUCUCCCUUUUUCUAUUGAAUUAUGGUAUUUCUAUAAUUGAUUAUGCAAGAGAUAAAACUAAGUUCGUGGUUUACUAAUGUAUCAAGAAAUUUCCUUGCUUGCCUCGUGUGAUAAGAAAAUAUAGCAUAAACUGAUUUCUGCCUAAAGAUCAUAUGAGUUUGCUAAGUCUCUUUAUGAAUAUACUCAUUGUAUGCUUAGUAUCCUUUAAUCGAUCAUGCUUGUUGGAUGAAAAACGAAUGGAUUGAAUGAGCUGAGCCUAGUGUUUACCUUGUAUAUUUGUGCUUGAUUGGCUGAUCUGUUUUCUUCUUCUUGGUGAAAAUUUGUUGGCAUAUACUGUUUGAAUAAGGAGAUCUCGGAGAUUAUAGAUGUUAUUUCGGGUGUUUUUUUCUGUGUGAAACUUGGUUUUGAUGUUGGCAUGAGCUUGCUGUAAACAUUCUGUUGGAAUAUACGAAUUGGAUUUUCUUAAACAGCUCCACUGGCGAUCUAUUGAGUAAGAAGGGAGAAGGAUUUGGUGGGGAGCAAAAGAUAAUGGAGUUGGUGGAG
rnacentral:lncRNA from 1 species